rnacentral:rRNA from 1 species
GAUGAACGCUGGCGGCGUGCUUAACACAUGCAAGUCGAACGGAAAGGCCCAAGCUUGCUUGGGUACUCGAGUGGCGAACGGGUGAGUAACACGUGGGUGAUCUGCCCUGCACUUCGGGAUAAGCCUGGGAAACUGGGUCUAAUACCGGAUAGGACCACAUUUUGGAUGGUGUGGUGGAAAGUUUUUCGGUGUGGGAUGAGCUCGCGGCCUAUCAGCUUGUUGGUGGGGUAAUGGCCUACCAAGGCGUCGGCGGGUAGCCGGCCUGAGAGGGUGUACGGCCACAUUGGGACUGAGAUACGGCCCAGACUCCUACGGGAGGCAGCAGUGGGGAAUAUUGCACAAUGGGCGCAAGCCUGAUGCAGCGACGCCGCGUGGGGGAUGACGGCCUUCGGGUUGUAAACUCCUUUCGCUAGGGACGAAGCGCAAGUGACGGUACCUGGAGAAGAAGCACCGGCUAACUACGUG